rnacentral:rRNA from 1 species
GUGUCAGCCGCCGCGGUAAUACGUAGGGACCGAGCGUUGUCCGGAAUCAUUGGGCGUAAAGAGCGUGUAGGCGGCUAUUUAAGUCCUGCGUGAAAUCCUGCGGCUCAACCGCAGACGGUCGUGGGAAACUGGAUGGCUAGAGUGCGGGAGAGGAGAGUGGAAUUCCCGGUGUAGCGGUGAAAUGCGCAGAUAUCGGGAAGAACACCCGUGGCGAAGGCGGCUCUCUGGAACGCAACUGACGCUGAGACGCGAAAGCGUGGGGAGCAAACAGGAUUAGAAACCCCCGUAGUCC